rnacentral:tRNA from 1 species
CGCCGCACUGCCGCGCGCACACCGACGGCGUCGGUUUCCACCCGACGUUGAACAUCGAGCCGUUCGACGCCGUCUUCGACAA